rnacentral:rRNA from 1 species
AGUGGACGCUGGCGGUAGGCCUAACACAUGCAAGUCGAACGGCAGCACAGUAAGAGCUUGCUCUUACGGGUGGCGAGUGGCGAACGGGUGAGGAAUACAUCGGAAUCUACUUUUUCGUGGGGGAUAACGUAGGGAAACUUACGCUAAUACCGCAUACGACCUACGGGUGAAAGCAGGGGAUCUUCGGACCUUGCGCGAUUGAAUGAGCCGAUGUCGGAUUAGCUAGUUGGCGGGGUAAAGGCCCACCAAGGCGACGAUCCGUAGCUGGUCUGAGAGGAUGAUCAGCCACACUGGAACUGAGACACGGUCCAGACUCCUACGGGAGGCAGCAGUGGGGAAUAUUGGACAAUGGGCGCAAGCCUGAUCCAGCCAUACCGCGUGGGUGAAGAAGGCCUUCGGGUUGUAAAGCCCUUUUGUUGGGAAAGAAAAGCAGCAGGUUAAUACCCCGCUGUUCUGACGGUACCCAAAGAAUAAGCACCGGCUAACUUCGUG